GCACUUUCAGUAGGGAGGAAGGUAGUGUAGUUAACACCUGCAUUAUUUGACGUUACCUACAGAACGAAGCACCGGCAACUCCGUGCCAGCAGCCGCGGUAAUACGGAGGGUGCGAGCGUUAAUCGGAAUUACUGGGCGUAAAGCGCAUGCAGGCGGCCUGUUAAGUCAGAUGUGAAAGACCCGGGGCGUUAACCUCGGAAUUGUCAUUUGAAACUGGCAGGCUAGAGUCUUGUAGAGGGGGUAGGAAUUUCUAGGUGUAGCGGUGAAAUAGCGUAGUAGAUACUCGAAGGAAUACCAGUGGCGAAGGCGGCCCCCUGGACAAAGACUGACGCUCAGAUGCGAAAGCGUGGGGAGCCAAACAGGAUUAGAUACCCCUGGUAG
rnacentral:rRNA from 1 species